UCCAACGACUGAGAACUAACCCCCCAUCUCCCAUAUAAGUGCCCGAAUCCCACCCCCAAACCCUAGAGACCCUCACUCUUCUUCGUCUCCCUCACCUUAGCCCUAACCCUAGCCUCCCUAAUAUUCUCUACAAACCCCACCAACGGCCACCACCCAACCUUCUCCAAACCCACUGAAAUUCACACCCCAUAAUCCCAUCUUCCUCCUCAUCUCAUAUCUUGCCUUAGUUUCUUCCAAAACACCCUAGAAAUCCCUGAAUUUUAGAUCAAAGAAACAACCAGAUUGUUCAAAUUUCUUGGUCCGUUAUUUCCUCAGCGCCUGGGUUUAAGGGGUUCAUCUGUACAUGAUGUGUUAUUUUAUUGGCUACUAGGACUCUAUGCAAGGCCGUGUUUCUUGGAGGAAAAGACCCUUUAUGUGGUCGAUUGGCAUGAAGUAGGGCAUCGUAGACUUUCUCACAUUUUUUUGCCCAUAAACGGUAAAAGAUUUUCAUCAUUGUCUUCUCCGUCUUUCCUAUUUGAAUCAGUAACUUCAUACCCUCUUUAGCUUGUUAAAUUACUUGUUUUUCGUUUGAGAGUCAUUCAUUUCAAUCUUCUAGUCAUGUUUGAUUAGGUUUGUUCUAGUCUAUUAGUUAUCAAUUUGGGUUAAUCCAAGCCUGUUUAGAUUAAUUAUAUAAAUCAUUUUGUUAUCUCAGUAAUUAGUUGUUUUGCUGAAUUUGAAAUCACUUGAUAAGUUGUUUGCCUAAUAAUUAAUUAACAAGGGUCUAGAGUAUGAUUUUAGCUCAGUAAUUUCAGUUCAACUCUAUUUGGUAUCAAUUAGAAUUUGGGGGGAGAAAUGAGAAUUUCAGAUAAGGCAUUAGGAAGUUUCUAGAUUUUGGACACCUGUCCCAAUUUGUUAAUGAAAAGAUGAUGAAAUUGAAUGUCCAUUUUCUGUUCCAAAAGAUGCUCUUUUCCUAAUUUUUAGGGCUGAGAUUUAGGGAAAUAUUCCUUUUAUGCCUUAUGAGCACAUGGCAGAUAUUCCUUAUAUAUAGGACCUAUUCUCUCUCAAAACACUCAGAUUUUUUACACAAAAACCUUCAAAUAGAUAGGCUGACUCUCUUGAUUAAAUUUUCUGAUUUUUCUCCUCCUUAAGCUCAAACCAAAGGAAAAAUAGAAAAACUGUUCAAGUUGGUGGUUUUUUCCACUUAAUCUGAUGGUCUCUUUCCAUUUCUACUAGUUUUGCUGAUUUGAAUCGAGAGUUGUAGCAUUUUGGUUGUCCUGCUGUGUUCUAGUUGCUAUUUUUACUGUUUUCUGCUAUUACUCACUGAUCCUUAAGCCUUAUUUCCUUAUUCAGUUCGCUUUUUAUUCUAGGCACCCUCUUGAAUCUUUGGAUCUCAAUCAGAUAUGAAAUAUGAUUUUAUGAAAGAAAUAUGUGCACGGUUGAGUUAUGUCAAGCAAACAUGUGCAAGUUCUUAAUCUAUAUAUUGUUUUAAGUUAUUUUGUUUCUUCUUGGUUUGUUAUUCUGUUAGAAUCAGUGGUUGUUGAAUUAUCUAUACCUAAGUUCAUUUGUAUUUAAAAAUAUUGUUCUUCCACUCCUGUAUUAAUCUUGUGUGAGUUCUGAGUUUGGCAUAAAUGUUCCGCAAUUCCUCAUCCUAAACUUAGCUUGCUUAUAGGCAUAUUAGCUUGGUAAAAAUAGUGUUACUGCUUCACAGAGUCCUCUACUAGUUGAUUAAAUGUUUUGUUGAACUAUGCGUGCUGUCUGAUAAUUACUGUCUAUUCAGAAUUUUUUCUUAUGUUGUUUGCGCCUAAAUCCAUGUUUAAAUAUGCAUAUACAAGAGGUUAAUUUAAGUAUUGAUGUUGAUAUGUUGUUUUAAAAGAUAGAUUUGAUGCUUUAGUUAUGUAGCGUAGCUAGUGCUAUGAGAUAUCAAAUUGAAACAUGAUUUCUGGAUUUUGUUUGUUGGGCCAUUAUGUGGUAACAUGGUAUGGGCUGCUGAAUUCUUUGUAAUAAUUUGGAGAGCCUCUGUAUUUUCGGCUGGGAAUCCAAUUUGGUCAAGAUCCCCAAAAAUGGGAAUUGGGCUUGAGUUUAACUGUUAUUGAAUUGUGUUAUCUAGAUGGGCAUAAGCUUUCCUGUUUGGCCUCACUAAAUAGCCCAUUCUUUUAAAAUUAAUAAACGCCAAUUGCCUCUCCAAUAAUCUCAGAGUUAGCCUAGAAUAUUGACUUACAAAUAUUAGUAAAUAAUGCUUUAGGCGCGAUUUAAUCUAGCAUCAUGAUUGUGUACACGUUCGUGUGACAUAAUUAUGAUUCUAAAAACAAAAUCGAGGUAUGCGUUCACGCAACUUCGACCAAACUUUCUUAAUAUUAAUAAAGCGUGAUUAAUUAUGGAUACGUACACAUGCCAUGAUUCUUGACGCGCCAAACGAACUGAAUACACGUACGCGUGAUUCAUUUCAAAUUAAAAAGCUUAAAAGUAAAAUGUAUAUAGGUUCCAAAACAUGUAAUUAGACAAAUUGCUUAAGCCAGAUAUGAUUAAAGCGAUCAUACUAAAACCAUGGAACCCGGGAAUGCCUAACACCUUCUAUCGGGUUAAUAAAAUUCCUUACCCGGUCUUCUGGUUUUGCAGACCUUUAAAAUAGAGUCGAUUUCCUUGAUUUGGGAUUUAAAAUAAACCGGUGACUUGGGAUACCAUACAAUUAUCCCAAGUGGCGACUCUGAUUAAAUAAUCCCAUUUCGAUUAUUGUCACCUUAAUUGGAAAAAUUCCUUUAUACCCCUUUCAGGAAAAAGGAGGUGUGACAACUCUGACGACUCUGCUGGGGAAAGAACCCAGAAUUUCUGGUUCAGGGUUCAAGAAUUCAAGCUUGUUACUAUGCUUUUUUACUUGGCUUUAUUUAUUAUUGAUAUUACUGUAUUUUGUGGACCUAAUGUGCUAAUUGUCGUUAUUUACCGCUUUGAUAUUAUUUGAAAUGUAUUAAAAUGUCUUCUUACGCCUCCCUUCUAAGUCUUCUAAAAAUAUGGUGCACACGUACGCGUGGCCCAUCUUUUUGUUAGAAGUCAUACCAAAUAGGCUUUCGUGCUCUCGGUACGUUGCCCCCAUCUCGGCUCGAGCUGUCCGCUCGGGUAAACCAGUUCUAGAAUACAACCCUAGGUUAAACCUAGAAUUACACAGCCUCAUGCCCGAUUCCUAGUAGGAACGUUUGUUUGCAUCAUGUGCAUUUGAUCUUGGGAACUCAACACAGGGGUUGGGUCCUUCUAGGACAGGUGUACGUAAAAAUGACAGACCAUCCUGAUGCAUCUUACGUGCUAUGUAUACAUUUAUUUGUUUUGGCUUGCAUGUUGACCAGGUAGGAAAAGAAAAUCAAGAGAAAAAUCAAGAGUGAGGUAGGAAGCAAAUAAAGCCCGGUUCUAAAAACCCCAGUAUUUGAAAAUAUCCCAAAAUUUUGCCGAAAUUUUUCAAAAAAAAAAGUUGAAAAAAGAGAAAAAGGAAAAAGAGUCAUUUCAAAAUGUGUCAAUAACAUGGUUCUUCCGAUUAUGUCAAAAUUGACCGAACUAUGCAGGUCUGAUUUUUACCGAAUGUGGGAUACGUAGGCAACCUACAUAAGGUUCGACCUUAUUUUUUGCAAAAUAUAACCAAAUAAAAUAAAGUGUAGUCUAGUGCUUUGGUCAAAAGAAUAAGCCGACCCAGCUUUGGUUAUGUCUUAAGCCAUUUUUGUCGGGAUAGCCUUAGAGCGUCUUUCAAUUGUCGAAGGGAUAUUUUCAUAAAGAACGGAUAAGUCUGUCAGUAAGGUGUCAUUUUUCCAUAAAGUACCCUCCCCCGGCCUCAAAAUUUAUUUGGAAUUGUGAAGGGGCCACGUUUACAAAAACAACCACUUUUGUUAAAAUGGCAUGGGGGCCAUUCUCCUUUGAUUUUUUCUCCUUUGGAAAUUGAAAACUUGUUUCGCAAAGAGAGUCCACCGGAGUCAACAUUAACCUUAACUAUCCACAGGUACAAAUGAACACUAUCUAGAAUUUAUCACUAUUAGUCAUAGAACAGGCUCAGCUGCAGCUUCGUAUGUGGUGGUAUGAUUUAGAUGGAGAUGGUCAGGAUUGGGUAAAAGGGAAUUUGGGUACCCUUACAGACAUUAUGGAAAUCAAAUCGCGGGAGGAUCUAAUCAAGGCCUUGGUAACUUUUUGGGAUCCUGUCCACAACGUUUUCUAUUUCUCGGAUUUUUAGCUUAUCCUUACUUUGGAGGAAAUAGCCAGAUAUAUUGACUUUGGUCGGGGCUUGAGAAAAUAGCAAUUUAUAUUCCCAAGGGCUCCCUCUGUGCACAAAUUCUUUGAUCUCUUGAAUAUCAGUAAGCAAAUGAAAAAGAUCGAUGUAGAUAAAGGAUGUUGUUCCUUUUACUUCUUGUAUUCCAGGUUUGGUCACUCAGUUGGGUUCGAAACACACGAAAAGGGAUUAAACAACAAACAAAAUAAGAGCAUCUGGAAAAUUCAUCGUUGGUUCGCUUACAUAGUGACAUUUUUGGGAAUUAUAGUCUUUCCGAAUGCAGAAGGGACAAUAGAUAUCCGCAUGGCCAGAAUUGCACAAAUCCUCACUACAAAAAAAGAUCAUACACUUGCUCCAUUAGUGCUGGCAGACAUCUAUCGAGCAUUAACAUUGUGUAAGUCCGGGGCUCAAUUCUUUGAAGGUUGUAACAUUCUUCUGCAAAUGUGGUUGAUCAAGCAUCCCCGCCAUCACCCCAAAUUCAUGAGUUAUGGCUCGAGCAAGGACAAUUUCAUCAAGAGUUAUAAGGAAAGGGUGAAAGACUACAAUUCUCCAGAAGGGUUUGAAGCCUGGGUCUCCUACUUAAGAACUCUAAAAGCGAGGCAGAUUGAAUGGACUCUAGGAUGGCUUCCGGUAACGGAAAUCAUACACAUGAUGGCUACAAAAGGCUACCUAAUGUUGAUGGGUUUAAGAAGUGUCCAUCCAUAUGCACCGCAAAGAGUUUUAAGGCAAUUGGGAAGAUAUCAAGUGGUGUCCGAAGAUGAAGAUUUGAGUACCCAAGUCAUUGAGCUACACCCAGAAACUACAUUACCCGAGGCUUUAGUCCAACAAGAUUGGAAUGGUUGCCGAUAUCUGAAAAAUGACAUCCAGGUACCAGAUCUCGCGAGAGGAGAAUAUGAUCCAGAUUAUGCCGUGUAGUUUGAGGGAAUGCAAAUAAUGAGCCAGAGACUGAGCCCGAGCUUGAAAGGCCCACCAAAAGACCUCAUGUUCAGGAUUUUGAUGAUAAAGUCCGGGAAAGGUUGGUCUGGGGAGAAAAGGAGAAAAAAAUAUCAAGCCACCAUUCAUACCCUAGAAGAAAAAUCGAGAAACGUUGCAUUUGAUAAUGACCUACAGGUGCAAGAAGCUGAAGGUGAAAGGAUAAGGUUGGCCCAAGAAAAUGAACCCCUCCGAGCUCAGAUUUAGAGAAUGAAGAUAGUCGCUGAAAAUCCGUCCAGAAGCAAAAAAGAUGAAAAACUCAUAAACAGUCUUAGACGAAAAGUGUGUGAUUAUGGGGCUGACUUGGAAAAAGCCGAAGAGGAAUUGACAAAAGCCCAGGAAAAGUUGACAAAGAAUGAAGAAGAGCAGAUGAGGUUUGUUCAACAUCUAAGGGAAAAGUAUGACAGAGAAGUCACAUUUUUAAAGAAGAAGCUGACUAAUCUUGAGAAGGAAAUGGGCCAGCAAACAAAGAAUUUCAAAGCAAAAAGAGAGCACUGCUAUUCACUAAUUUUCUGACUAGAAGAAAGAAUGCAACAGUUACAGAAUCAAAACAACACAGACACAUAAGUGUUAGAAGCUUGGGCACAGCAAAUCGGGCGUCUGCUUCAAAAGAAAGGUGUCAUCAAAGCAAGGAUUAAAGAAAUAGCCGACUAUGCUGUGAUGAAAUGUCACGAAUGUGAAGACAUGACUAGGUCUAUGUUUUUUGCUUCUGUGAUGACAUUCGUUCACUAGGUGAUGGCUGACUUGGACCGUCUUCAACAAUAUAAUGCACGAAGGCCCACGCAAAGACCGAAUAGUGUUCCGCAAACUCCCAGGGUACCGGUGGAGGCUCUUAUGUACUCCUAAUUUUCUUUUGGUUUUAAGUCUGUAUUUCAUUUUUCGAGUCUGUUAAUUUUUCCAAGUUUGUUUUGUUUUCCUAUUUAGAGUCUAUAUGUCAGAGUCCUUGUAAUAGAAAAUUCAAAAAGAUUUUAUUUAAUGAAAUAUUGAAAACCCCAAGAAAAUUUCUUUCUUAUAACCUAAACUACAUAAUGAUCUAAUUCAUACCGCAUCAUGAUACGUAGGCAAUCCCCAUAGGAUUCAAUCAUAACCACAAAAUGAAAAGAGAGGAAAGAAAAUUGAGUGAAAAAGAGUGGCAAAACAAGAAGAACAAAAGAGAGCGCAAAAAAUAAAAAGGGAGUGAUAGGAACUAAGUGAGAAAAUCAAUAGUGACUAAAGGAAGGCAGGAGUGAAAGAAAAGAAAGUGCAGAGUGAAAAGAUUUAUUUAAGACUGGGAUGAAGUAUGCAACCGUUCAAACACACGAUAGAAGCAUUUAACUGUUUAGGUGCAUUGCAUCCCAAACGUGCGAUUGCCUAUCUAUUAAACUCUUAAAAACUAACAAGUUUGCUGUUGCAAUCUAGUAUAUGAAGGUGGUUAGUUUGUUUGGCAUUCUAGCAAGUCAUCCAUAUAACACCAGGUCAAAGCACAAGGCAAUCAUGGCUAGCAAAGAAUUAGACGCAAGUGUUGUUGACCCACCGAAAGAGAUGGUGGAAUCUGAGUCUGGUUUGAAAGAAGAGGUACACAAGCUGAAGCACCAAAUGGCCGAAAUGUAUCAAGCAUGGAUCAGGGGGCAUCCUCUACCAUCAUUCCUUGCCAACUAUACAGAAAACCCUGCUUUCAUCCCACCACUGUCACAAGUCCAAGAUCCCACUAUUAUUGACCUUUCCCCUCAGCAUGCACCAAGAUUUACCCCUUACCACCACUAUCCUGACACUUCAACCCAAACUUUCCAGGCUCCACCAGCCAAAACAACCACAUACCCAGCUCCGCUAUCUACUUCUGUCUUUGUAGCCCCUUCUCGAGCUACCCUUUAUCGAUCUUCUAGUGAACUGGCGUUCCAAUCUCAAGAUACCCAAUACUAUGCUUCAUAGCCUACUUUCAAAGUCCCAGAUCAUUACUCCUACACUCCUCACUUUGAACCUCCUGUCAAAACUGAGAAACCACCCAAGAACGCGGAGCAAGAGGAGAUAUUUAGGAAAGUAAAGAGUUUGGAGCAAUAAUUGACGAAUAUGAAAGGGUUAGGAGGCCAAGUGAGUGUGGCUUAUAAGGAUUUAUGCUUGUUUCCCAAUGUCCAGUUACCUGCUGGGUUCAAGAUGCCCAGGUUUGACUUGUACGAUGGGCAUAGAGACCCCGUGGGCCACUUAAGAGGGUUUUGCAGCAAGGUGAGGGGUGCUGGUGGGAAAGAUGAAUUGCUGAUGGCAUAUUUUAGUCAAAGUUUGAGUGGUGCAGCGUUGGAAUAGUACACCCGCCAGGACAAUAGCAGGUGGUACACAUGGGACGACUUGGCUCAGGCUUUCGCUUGGCAUUUUCAAUAUAACAUAGAAAUUGUCCUAGAUCGCCUAUCCUUGACUAAGAUAGAGAAAAAGACCAGUGAGAGCUUUAGGGAGUAUGAUUUCUGGUAUAGAGAACAUGCUACACGAGUCAACCCUCUAAUGGUAGAAUACGAAAUGGUGGAGUACAUUCUUCAAGCUUUGGAGCCUACUUACUUUGGCCAUCUGAUCUCGGCCAUAGGUAAGUCUUUCAAUAAAGCGUAAAGAUGGGAGGAAUGGUGGAAGAAGGACUCAAAUCAAGCAAGAUCAUGAGUUAUUCCGCCAUAAAAGCAACCACGUAAGCGAUCCAAAGCGGCACCGAUGGCGUGUUAGGUAAAAAGAAGAAAGAGGAUGUUGCUAUGGUUGUAUUAGGAUCAUGACAUGGCCCAAGGGGUUCACCUCACCAUUACACCCAACCUCAACACCAACCUCAAACCUACACCCAAGCUCCAUAUAAUCCACCCCAACACUACUUCCCACCACAAGACCCUCAAUAUUUAGUCAGACCACCCCAAUACCACGUCCACCAUGCACAGUCAUAUGCUCAACCCCCUUUUUACCCGCAAUGGCGUGCUCUAACUACAUAAAAUACUUAUCCACCCCCACAAACAUACCAAAACCUUACUGGUCCAAGAUUUCGACCCAGGCCGGAGUAUAGAAAGGAAAGGCAGUAGCGGAAACAAACUUUCACCCCGCUUGGAGAGUACUAUGCCAGUUUGUUUCAAAGGUUGAGGCAGUUGGACGUUUUGACACCAAUUGAGUUAAAAUUACGAAAUCCCCCUCCAAAAAACCUGGAUUAUUCCCUCAAAUGCGCAUAUUGUUCUGAUGCUCUGGGGCACGACACAGAAAAGUGCUGGCAUUUGAAGAGCGCAAUCCAAGAGCUUAUCGAUACAACAAAUUGUGGUCCAGAGCCCAGAAGCGCCAAAUAUCAACCAAAAUCCUCUGCAGGCUCAUGCCGAAACACACAUGAUUGAGAUAGUACAUAAGGAUGGGGAGUCCGAGAAGCCUUCGAAGUUUGUCAUGAUGAUCCGUGCCAGUGAAAAUACUUCAGUCAAAACUCCAGUUAUUAUAAAUGCAACAUCCUUGACAGCUGAAGGGCUCACGACAAGCUAAGCACGCCCAACGUUAAGCCGCCUGUAUUAGUCGUGAAAGGGUUCCUAGAUGAUGUUGAAGCAAAGCAAGGAAAGCCGAAAGUGGUCGUGCCAGGGGUACCAAGUAAGCUUUUCAUAAUCGUGGAAAGGGCUUGCAUUGCCCAUGUUGUUAUUAAACCUAUGACCCAGCUGCUGAUAGAUAACACCAAGGCUGUGCCAUGGAAUUACAAGCAAGUAAUAGUAGCUUAUAAAGGGAAAGAAGUGGAAGAGAAAGUUAAUGAAACCCGAGGGUUGACUUGUUCAGGGAGAUGCUUUACCCAAGAGGAAUUAAGUAAAGCUAAGCCAUUUAAAGAUAGCCUAAUCCCCGUAAAGCAGCCAGUUAUCGAAGAGGAGGCAGAAGAAUUCUUGAGAAAAAUGAAGGUGUAGGACUACUCCAUCGUGGAAUAGUUAAGGAAAAUACCAGCUCAGAUUUCUCUUCUAUCAUUACUGAUACAUUCAGACGAACAUCGCUGGGCCCUCAUGAAGAUUUUAAAUGAGGCUCAUGUCCCUGAUAAGAUCAUAGUGAACCAUUUGGAGAAGAUUGCUAAUAAGAUAUUUGAGGCAAACAGGAUAACUUUCUCGGAUGUCAAACUUCCCUUGGAGGGUACAGAACACAAUCGAGCUCUUUAUCUCACAAUGAAAUGCGAGGAUUCUAUGGUCUUGAGGGUACUAGUUGAUAAUGGUUCUAGCACAAAUAUUUGCCCUCUCUCCACUCUACAAAAGUUGAAAAUUGGUACUGAAAGGAUCCAUAAGAACAGUAUAUGUGUUCGAGGUUUUGACGGAGAGGGGAAGGAUUUUGUUGGCGAAAUCAUGCUCGAACUGAUAAUAGGACCAGUUUAAUUCACUACGGAGUUCCAGGUGCUAGAUGUGGCCGUCUCCUACAAUUUACUGUUGGGCAGGUCUUGGAUACAUGUUGCCAAGGUAGUCUCGUCUUCUCUGCACCAAAUGGUAAAGUUCUGCGGGACAGGAAGGAAGUAGUUAUGCACGGUGACGAGAACUUAUGUGCUUACAAUGAUACAUCCGUCCUGUUUAUUGAAGCUGAAGAUGAUAAAGGGCCUUAGGUCUACCAAACCUUCGAAACAGUGUCAAUUGAGAAGAUUCAGGAGGGGGAAUGCAUUCCAAGUCCAAAGCUAACCUCCGCAUCAGUCAUAGUAGCAAAUGAAAUGCUGAAGAAUGGUUUUGUGCUGGUCAAAGGUCUGGGUGCAUCUUUACAAGGUAUCGUGCAUCCAGUGUGUCUACAUGAAAAUCUGGGUACGUUUGGUCUGGGAUUCAGGCCCACAGGGGAGGAGGUGAAGAGGGCUAAAAGGUUGAAAAACAAGGAAUGGUCACUCUCUAAGCUUGUCCCACCCCUCUCUAGGUCCUUUGUCAAGCCAGGGGUCGUGAAACGCCCAAUGUCAGUAGUCCCAAAGCCUGUGGUCGACUUUGAUAAAGAGAUGAUCAAUAGGUUCCAAAGUCUAUUUGAUGAGGUUAACUUGGUGGAAAUCAAGGAAGGUUCCAGUAAAGCAGAUGUGCAGUUUGUUGGGCCAAAAGUAAAGCUUAGCAAUUGGAAGGCUACUCCUUUCCCUACUCGGAAUGAGUUUUGGUAGUUUGCCUUGUUUUCUUUUCUGUUAUCUGGGUUAUUCCAGGGUUGUAAUCUAGAUUUUAUUUUUCGCUUGUUUUGAUGUACAAACCCUUCUAUACUUUAUUUUCAAUGAAAUGCAAUUUCCCUUUUUCUAUUACUCCUGAUAGUGCAUUUUUGUCUUUCUUUAUACAAUUCUUUUUAUGCUGGUUUCAAUGACUUGGCAUGCAUGAGGAAUUUUCAGCCAAGUCUUAAAAGCCAAUCUAAAUCUGAAAUAAUAAUCCAAGAAGUAGAGUGCGAUGAUGAUACAUAAUAUGAUGAAGAAGCGGCAUUUGAGGAAAUUAGUAAAGAACUAAAUCAUUUUAAAGAGAAACCCAAGCCUAAUUUCAAUAAAACCGAAGCAAUCAAUUUAGGAGAUCCAGAUAAUAUCAGGGAAACCAAGAUAAGUGUACACCUGGAACCACAAAUCAAGGAAGAAAUAAUCAAAGCACUGUUUGAAUGUAAAGAUAUCUUUACGUGGUCAUAUGACUAUAUGUUGGGUUUAAGUACUGAUUUGGUAGUUCAUAAAUUGCCAACUGAUCCAACAUUCCCUCCUGUCAAGCAAAAAUUAAGGAAGUUCAAGACUGAUAUGAGUGUGAAUAUCAAGGAAGAAAUCACAAAACAGCUGGAUACAAAGGUCAUUUGGGUCACUCGAUAUCCCACUUGGUUAGCUAAUGUUAUGUCAGUACCAAAGAAGGAUGGUAAUACCAGGGUAUGCGUUGAUUACCGCGAUCUCAACAAGGCAAGUCCAAAAGAUAACUUUCUAUUGCCGAAUAUCCAUAUUCUGAUUGAUAACUGUGCCAAGCAUGAGAUCGGGUCUUUUGUGGAUUGCUAUGUGGAAUAUCACCAGAUCUUGAUGGAUGAGGAAGAUGCAGAAGAGACAUCCUUCACUAUGCCAUAGGGGACAUAUUGCUACCGGGUAAUGCCAUUUGGUUUGAAGAACAUUGGGGCAACUUACAUGAGGGCAAUGACUACCAUAUUUCAUGACAUGAUACACAAGGAGAUUGAGGUUUAUGUAGAUGAUGUGAUCAUAAAGUCAAGGAAGCAGUACGACCAUGUUGGAGACUUGAGAAAGUUUUUCCAAAGGCUCCGCAAGUACAACCUCAAGCUUAACCCCACAAAAUGUGCAUUUGGUGUUCCGUCUGGAAUAUUGUUAGGAUUCAUAGUCAGUCGACGAGGUAUUGAGUUGUAUCCGUCAAAGAACAAAGCCAUCCAAGAAUUGCCACCGUCAAAGAAUAAAACUUAGGUAAUGAGUUUGCUGGGAUGGUUAAACUAUAUCAACAGGUUUAUUGCUCAACUCACGAUAACUUGUGACCCCAUCUUUAAGUUGCUGAAGAAAAAUGCCAUGAUCAAAUGGACUGAUAAGUGUCAGGAGGCAUUUGAUAAGAUCAAGAGGUACCUGUUAAACCCACCGGUGCUGGUCCCGCCGGAGCCUAGGAGACCUUUAAUUCUUUAUUUGACAAUCUUGGAUAAUUCAUUUAGUUGUGUGUUCAACCAACACGACAUCACUAGCAAGAAGGAGCAAGCCAUUUAUUAUCUCAGCAAGAAUUUCACUUCUUACGAGGUUAAGUAUACUCUUCUUGAAAGGACAUGUUGCGCCCUAACUUGGGUGGCAUAAAAGUUGAAGCAUUAUCUGUCGUCCUUCACUACUUACCUCAUCUCUCGCAUGGAUCCUCUAAAGUAUAUCUUUUAGAAGCCUAUGCCCACAAGGAGACUUGCAAAGUGGCGGAUUUUACUCACAGAGUUUGACAUUAUCUAUGUGACUCGGACUGCGAUGAAAGCCCAAGCCUUGGCCGAUCACUUCACCGAGAACCUGGUGGAUGAAGAGUAUGAGCCGUUGAGGACUUAUUUUCCUGAUGAACAAGUGAUGCAUAUUGACGAGUUUGACUAGGAUGAAAAUCUAGGUUGGAAACUUUUCUUUGAUGAAGCCGCUAACAUGAAAGGUGUCAGAAUAGGGGUUGUGCUCAUUUCUGAAACAGGGCAUCACUACCCCAUAACAGCUCAACUUCGAUUUUACUGCACUAACAAUAGGGCCGAGUACGAGGCAUGCAUUCUGGGUUUGAGGUUAGCUGUAGACAUGGGAGUUCAAGAAGUAUUGGUUUUGGGAGAUUAGAUAUGUUAGUUCACCAGAUUCAGGGAGAAUGGGAGACUCGAGAUUUAAAGCUCAUGCCGUAUCGACAAUGUCUGCAUGAUUUUUGUCAACGAUUCAGAUCAAUAGAAUUUAGGCAUAUUCUUAGGAUCCAUAAUGAGGUUGUCGAUGCCUUGGCUACUCUGGCAUCAAUGUUACACCAUUCGAAUAAGACUUAUGUCGACCCUUUGCAUAUCCAAGUUCGUGAUCAGCAUGCCUAUUGUAAUGUGCUUGAAGAGGAACUCGAUAGUGAACCUUGGUUCCAUGAUAUCCGGGAAUACAUCAAGUUGGUGGUAUAUUCGGUACAAGCCACAGGUGAUCAAAAAAGAACCAGCCGACGUGUGGCUAGUGGAUGUUUCUUGAGCGGCGGAAUCUUGUACAAGAGAACUCCAGAUCUUAGACUACUGAGGUUUAUAGAUGCUAAACAAGCUUCGACUAUCAUGGCCGAAGUGCAUUCCGGAGUUUGCGGGCCGCAUAUGAGAGGAUAUGUCUUGGAAAAGAAAAUUCUUCGAGCAAGUUAUUAUUGGCUCACUAUGGAACGAGAGUGCAUUAGCUUUGUACACAAAUGUCAUCAAUGCUAGGUGCACGAUGAUCUGAUUCAUUCUCUGCCAUAUGAGUUUCACACAAUGUCUGCACCUUGGCCCUUUGUUGCUUGGGCAUGAAUGUCAUUAGACCGAUUGAGCCAGCAACAUCGAACAGGCAUAGGUUUAUUCUGGUGGCCAUUGAUUAUUAUACCAAGUGGGUUGAAGCUGUAACUUUCAAAUCUAUGACCAAGAAGGCAGCGGUGGAUUUUGUUCAUUUAAAUCUCAUUUGCCAGUUCUGAAUCCCUAAGGUAAUCAUCACAGACAAUGCUGCUAGUCUCAACAGUCAUGUGAUGAAAGAGGUAUGCCAACAAUUCAAUAUUAUGCAUCGAAAUUCCACUCUGUAUCGCCCAAGGCAAAUGCAGUCAUUGAGGUGGCCAACAAGAACAUAAAGAAUAUACUUUGUAAGAUGGUGCAAGGUUCUAGGCAAUGGCAUAAAAAGUUGCCUUUUGCUUUACUGGGUUAUCGCACUACUGUUCGCACUUCAGUAGGUGCAACUCCUUAUUUACUGGUAUAUGGAACUGAAGUAGUUAUACCUGCGAAAGUUAAGAUUCCAUCCCUUCAAAUUGUUGCUAAAGCUGAAAUUGAUGAUGAUGAGUGGGUCAAAACCCGAUUAGAGCAGUUGAGUUUGAUUGAUGAGAAAAUAUUGGCGGCAGUAUGUCAUGGUCAAUUGUAUCAGAAGAGAAUGGCAAGAGCAUACAACAAGAAGGUAUGUCCCCGAAAAUUUGAAGUGGGCCAGCAGGUAUUGAAAUUCAUCCCUCCACACCAGUCUAAAGCUAAAGGCAAGUUUGCCCUAAAUUGGCAGGGGCCGUUCAUUAUGACAAGAGUAUUACCCAAUGGUGCUUCGUAUUUAAUAGAUAUAGACGGCAAAUAUGUAGAUAUGGUUGUCAAUUCUGAUGAAGUCAAGAGAUAUUAUGUAUGAUUUCUUUGGUUUUUCUUCAAUUGAGUUAUUUGUAUUUGGCAUGCUUCAAAGAUUGGAAUGACGAAGGCAUUUUAUUCUGCUAUCUAAACACUUUUAUCCUUUUUACCCCUUUUGAGCCUUAUUUAUUUUCUUUCAUACCCCUCUUUUGGAAUCGGAAGUAGAUUUUACAAAUAAAAAAAAGAGAAAAAUGAAGAAAAAGUAAGUAAAACAAAAGAAAGAAAAGAAAAGAAAAAGUAACAAAAGCAAAGCGACUCUUAUGUCUUGAACUAUGUUCGACUUGAUUCCUUUUAAGGAUACGCAGGCAGCCUUAAACGGUUCGGUUCCAUCAAAAUAAAAAUUCAAAAUUCCCCAGAGUCAAAGAAACUGGGGCAGAAGUCGUGGUUUUGCAAAAGAUCCGAUUCCAAAAGUUGUAAUUUUGAACCCUAUUAUUUUUAGCUGUUUCUGAACCUGCAUGCCGCCUUUUCUUUCUAACCCUGUCCAAAAGCCCGCACCACGGUCCAAAGAAAGACCUUCUGAUCAAUCCUUGAGGAAUGCCAAGUCAAACGAGAUAGAUGUAUAAUUCAAAUAAUGGGUAACACUUUGUUCCUGCACAAGGAAAGAUGAAUAAAUGAGAGAGCCUUAUUGAUGAAAACGCUCACGCGCACCGUAAUGUGAUGGAAAGCUGAGAGAAAAAUUAAAAUGAGAGAUUCUUAUUGGUGAAAACCCUUGCGAGCACCGUAAGACGACAAUGAGUUGAGAGAUGAAAAAAUGAGAGAGGUUUGUUGGUGAAAACCCUUCAAAGCACUACAAGCCAAAUGAGGUUCAUGACUUCAUGGAGAGAUUGGAUUAUGGAAAUCCCGGUUGUAAAGUAUGAAGAGGGGGAAUGAACUGAAAUAUAAUUAGGUGAAUUGUCUGGGCUGAUUAAUCUGAAAUGCAUGGCAUGAUCAUUGGAGCUAGCUUCUUCACUCAGAUAAGUCUCUUUUCCAUUCUUCCUCAAAUAGUCAUCUUUGUUCAAAUUUUUUUUUUCUUUAUUCCUAAUUCUCGAAGUCAUUUUGCUUCGUUUCUUUUGGGUCUACUUCUCUAAGUCUUUUUCAAUGGUAGCCUUUUAAGCAAGCAAGAAAGGAUUUUAAAGCCUAUUACCGACUUUCAAUUGCACAAAUCAAAGUUCGGCCAGAGAACAUCACAAAUGGCAUGAUUCAGAAUGAGCAUAAGGUGUUAAUGGGAGUCCAAACGGUCAAGUGAUUUGUGAAUUUUGAGGAAGUAUAACAGUUCAAAUUGGUAGUACAAAGUUGUCAAACAACAAGUCGAGCGUAGGCUACUCGGGUCAUUCAGAGUUUUUGUGGUUGGGGUUCGAUCAGAAGGUCGAACAAUUCUUUGCUAGCCCAUAGCCGCUAAUCGGAAAAAAGCAUGGCAAUGGAAAAGCAGCCACCUUCAGAAAGGAUGCCACAAACUAACCACCACACUUUUAAACUGACAAGAUUCUCUUUGAUUGAAUUAGGGUCAGGAAAGUUUGUUUGUUCUGCAGGAAUCCUCCAUGAGGAAAGCAUGUUCCAAAUAGGUUAAGCCGUAAGUUUUCAAGACCCUCCUGGAUAAUGGGAUUUAAUUUUCAAAUUGUCAGGGCUCCCCUGAAUAAUGAGAUUUAGUUUUAAGUUUUCAAGACCCUCCAGGAUAAUGGAAUUUAACUUUUAAAUUGUCAGGACCCUCCUGGAUAAUGGGAUUUAGUUUUAAAUUUUCAGGACCCUCUUGUAUAAUGGAUUCAGUUUCAAAUCGUCAGGACCCUCCUGAAUAAUGAGAUUUAAUUUCAAGUUGUCAGGACCCUCUUGGAUAUUGGGAUUUAAUUUUAAGUUUUCAGGACCCUCCUAAAUAAUGGGGUUUAAUUUCAAGUUUUCAGGACCCUCCUAAAUAAUGGGAUUUAGUUUCAAGUCUUCAGGACCUUCCUGGAUAAUGAGAUUUAGUUUCAAGUCUUCAAGACCCUCCUGGAUAAUGGAGUUUAACUUUCAAGUUUUCAGGACCCUCCUUGAUAAUGAAAUUUAACUUUCAAGUUUUUAGGACCCUCCUGGAUAAUGGGAUUUAGCUUUUAAAUUCUUAGAGCUCUUUUGGUUACCAAGAUUCGAUUAACACUUAUAGAUGUUCCCGGUACCAAACUGAGGCAGAAAAGUUUCUUUUGUUUUGUCUGUUUUGUUGUAGUGGCAGGUGCCACCUGGAGAACAAGGAAAUUCAUUUCAGGUAUUAGGUCAAGUAGCAGGCUCCCACCUGGAGAACAAGGGAAUUCAUUUCAAGUACUAGGUCAAGUAGCAGGUACACACAUGGAGAACGGGGGAAUUCAUUUGAAGUAUUAAAUCAAGUAGCAGGCACCCACCUGGAGAACGAGGGAAUUCAUUUCAGAGUUAAGUUCAAAGUCCAAGACAACAACAUGAACCCGCCUGAAGAAUGAGGUCAAUUUAAGUUAGAAGUAACAGAAGCUUGUUUCAAGAGUGCGAGUCAAUAGUUCAAGAUGCACAGCAGAACCGUAGAAGUUUCGAGAUCAAGUUUUGAAGACAUAUAGAUAGGAAUAUUGUAACUCAUAACCAAUAGACUUGCCUAGC
rnacentral:lncRNA from 1 species